rnacentral:rRNA from 1 species
GCUAAACAUCUAGCCCCACCUGCUCUAUAUAGCAAACCCCAAACUUUCUCACCACACUAAAACAUUUCCCCAACUUAGUAAAGGCGAAAAAAAAAUUCCUCGGAGCAAUAAAAAGAGUACCGUAAGGGAAAGAUGAAAUAAAACUGAAAUAACUUUUAAGCACAAAAAAGCAGAGUUUUACCCUCGUACCUUUUGCAUCAUGGUUUAACUAGUUAAACUAGGCAAAAAGAAUUUUAGUCUAACCUCCCGAAUCUAGGCGAGCUACUUUAAGACAGCUUUAUGAGCCAACCCGUCUCUGUCGCAAAAGAGUGGGAAGAUCUUACAGUAGCGGUGAUAGACCUAACGAGCCUAGUGAUAGCUGGUUGCUUUAUAAAAGGAUUUUAGUCCAGCUUAAAGUAUUAUACUUAUAUUAAAAAUUUACUUUAAAGUAAUUCAAAUAAGGUACAGCCUAUUUGAAUCAGGAUACAACCUCUAACACUGGGUAAUCCAUUAGAAAUUUGACCAAGUAGGCCUAAAAGCAGCCACCUUAAACAAAAGCGUCAAAGCUUAUUCACACUAAAAAUUUAAUCCCAUUCUUAUCUCUAAACCCUUCUUCACCAAAAAGCAAUUCUAUACCCUUAUAGAAGAUUUUAUGUUAAAACUAGUAACAAGAAGUUAGCCCUUCUCUUAGAUGCACCUGUAAUUCAGUAAGGACCCUCCACUGUAAUUUAACGUUUAUUAAUUCUUCAGUAGCAACACCUCAAGAAAAUUCUACUUAUUUUUUCGUUAACCUAACACAAGAGCAUCUAAAGAAAGAUUAAAAGAAAAAGAAGGAACUCGGCAAAUAUUAGCCUCGCCUGUUUACCAAAAACAUCGCCUCUUGACCCACCUAUAAGAGGUCCAGCCUGCCCAGUGACAUUGUUCAACGGCCGCGGUAUCCUAACCGUGCGAAGGUAGCGUAAUCACUUGUCCUUUAAAUGAGGACUGGUAUGAAUGGCCACACGAAAGCUAUACUGUCUCCUUUUUCUAAUCAGUUAAACUAAUCUUCCCGUGAAGAAGCGGGAAUAAACCUAUAAGACGAGAAGACCCUAUGGAGCUUCAAACAACUGAGACACCUGAUUUUUAUCUUUUUCUUCAUUAAACCAUUCUUUUCUGUCUCUAGUUUUGGGUUGGGGUGACCACGGAGCAAAACCUAACCUCCAUGAUGAACGUAUCUUUAUGUUCUUAGCAAAAAGCCACAUCUUGACGCACCAACAAACUGACUCUAAUUGACCCAAUAAUUUGAUCAACGAACCAAGUUACCCUAGGGAUAACAGCGCAAUCCACUUCAAGAGCUCUUAUCGACAAGUGGGCUUACGACCUCGAUGUUGGAUCAGGGUACCCCAGUGGUGCAGCCGCUACUAACGGUUCGUUUGUUCAACGAUUAAAACCCUACGUGAUCUGAGUUCAGACCGGAGUAAUCCAGGUCAGUUUCUAUCUAUAAAGAGCUUUUUCUAGUACGAAAGGACCGGAAAAGCAUGGCCAAUGCACCAAGCAAGCCAUUAAUUUUUAAACUAUGCCUUAAACUCAAUAGUUAAACAUCUUCCAUUUAUUUUAAGACAAAAUAU